CACCAACUCGUAGUGAUGGUUUAGACCCAAGAAAGGUUGUCGGUUCUCAAGCGGGGAUCCACCGAGGGGGGGAGGGGGGUGCUCGGAGUGGUGGCCUGGACGAAGAGGGGGUGCCAACCGUGACCAACGAGAUCAUUGGUUCUCAUGCGGGGAUGAUUGUUUUGUGUCAAUUAUCUCACAUCGGAUAAAUAGAAAAAUGUUAAUGAGUAUGUAGGAAAAAUCAGUUCUUCCACCUAUCAGACUAGUCUUUUGAGUUGGACUCUUCCCGUUUGGUUUAUAACAUGGGUGUAGGGCUUCGGAAGUGGUGAGGGUGGAGUGGUAAAGAGGUAGGGGUUGGGGUGCUGGGUGUGAAAGAGAAUAUCCAAUAAACAUAGGAUGUCACACUUAUUUUUCAUACCUCCAUUAACGAAGAUAAUUUCCUAUUUUUAAGGAACUUGUUUUCCUAGAUAAAAUGUUUUUUCAAACAGAACAUUUGAAAAAUAAGAAAAAAAUUUCCGGAAAAAAAUUUCCGCCAUACCAAACACACCCUAAGUUACUCCAAUUUUCCUCUGUGAUCAGUGUGAUUUAUGUCAAGAUAGAUGUAAAUGAACAAGCUGAUGAACUCAUGGAUACUGAACUAUGAAGCUUAUCAAAUCAACAUCUUUUACAGAGAAAAUUUUGGAUAAAAAGGAAGAAAGUAAAAGACAUAAAACACAUGCAUCCUAAUUCCUAAAUCCUAAUAUUGCAUCUCCACACAGCCUAAUAAAAGUCUAAGCAAAAACAGAAUACACAACAACAAUCACUAGACAUAUCAACAUGUUUUUCAACCUUUUUCAUGUACAACAAAGAAACACAAUUGUAACCAAGUAGAUCAAGACAAGGGACCAUGCCCGGUGUCAAAAUGAGAUCCAGAACAACCACCUUACUGUAAUAUGUUACGCGAUUUGCUGAAGGUCUUUAAGUACAAAGGCAAGCGAAGAACAUUGCAGCAAAUAAGGCUAGAUAUCCAUUGUGGCUUCUGUGUUUGCUUGCAGCACCGUGAUGGCGUUUGUGGUGUGCAUUUGCAGCAUAGAUUGGUAUGAAAUUCGAUGAUCCUGGAGUCGAAGGAGAUCGAGAUCCAUCGCCAUUUACUUCCCCUCCACUUCCUCUGCCACCACUAAUAUGAGCCUCUGCAGCAUGACCAUAUUUGCUGUUAAUAACUAUUGUUGUAUUUACAUUAACAUCAUGAUUACUAUUAAGUUGUUCACCCACUAUUGCUUCUUUGUGAUCUGAAAUAAUAGGUUAAUGACAUUCGAAGAUUCUACAAUACAUAUUAUUUAUCAGGUAAAUAUCAGCUGAUUCAGACGAAAUCAGAAUUUAAACUUGACGAGUUCAACCUUAGGUUCUCACAGCUAACUAAAUCCAAAUGUAUUUUCGCAGUAAGGGGUUCAAUUUUAGUGAUUUGACACUCUCAAACACACGGUUCAAGCCGUGGAAACUACCUCCGGUAGAAUACAAAGUAAGGUUGCGUACAAUAAACCCUUGUGAUUCGGUUCUUCCCCGGACUCCAUGCAUGUAUAUAGCAGGAGCUUUAGUUCAUUGGACAACCCUUUACACUCUCAAACAAACAUACAUGCUCAUGUGUACACACAAUAUAUAAAUAUAUUUUAAACAGUACAAUGGUUGUGGGGACUUCCCUCCUCUAUGAUUCAGAUGAAUAAUUAAAGAAAAAAUCCAUAUCCCUUAAUUGAAAGAGUGAAAAAAACACAAAGUUUUCCUUUCAAUUAAGUAAAUGGAUUGCUAAUUGAUCAGGUUAUGAAAAGCAGCACAUCAACUCUUUGGUUUAAACAGAAAAGAAUCAAUAAAUUUGAACACAUUAGGUCAAUUCAACAACAUUAAGAGAAACCAAGAAACUACAUAAUACUUUCUUUGGGGAGUGUCAGCGGGGGCGGAGCUAGUGUUGUGGUUCAAUAACUUUACUUAAGAUCAUACUUUUGUGUUAAGAGAUUCACCUAAUAUAUAUAAAUAACUUAACUCAGUAAAUCCAUAAAUUUAAAAUUUCAAAUUCACCUUUGGGUGUCUGGACCACCUUGUGGUACCUCAACUAAUUUCACGAGUAAUUUGCUAUCUCCCACCAGCACAAAAUUAACCUAUAAUUAAUUCUAUCCACCAAAUCUUGAUCGGAUGGGGAAAAAAUAAACUCAAGAAUACUUACACAGAGGGAUUAAGAGAUGAAGAAAAUAAAAUUACCAGAGGACAAAAUCUUGGCUUGAUAAAAACCACAUGAAAAGUAGAAGGCCAAAAAUAAUAGCAAUAUCAUUUUCUUGGUCCCCAUUUUUGUUUUCUAAAUUCAAGAACACUCCCAUGCAAAGAACUUGAUUUAAUAUUCACUUGUUGUAUUCCAAAUAUUUUUCCCUAGUAUUAUUUAUAGCCUUUCUUUGUUGUUCCUGAAUUGAUCUUCUUACUCAAAAAGCAAAAUGCUAUUUUAAAGUUAGAAAAGACAAUAAUUUAUUUGCCAGUUAAGUGACCUUAGUCAUAG
rnacentral:lncRNA from 1 species